ACGAACGCUGGCGGCGUGCUUAACACAUGCCAGUCGAACGGUGAAGCGCCUUCCUUUUUGGUGGGUGUGGAUGAGUGGCGAACGGGUGAGUAACACGUGAGUAACCUGCCCCCUCCUCCGGGUAACCGGAUGGAAGGGGUGGUAAUAAGGGGAUUUCCUGGUCCUGCGGAUUGUGGGGUUGGGGAAGGUUUUGUUUCCGGGGGGGGUGGGCUCGCGGCCUAUCAGCUUGUUGGUGGGGUGAUGGCCUACCAAGGCGGUGACGGGUAGCCGGCCUGAGAGGGUGGACGGUCACACUGGGACUGAGACACGGCCCAGACUCCUACGGGAGGCAGCAGUGGGGAAUAUUGCACAAUGGGCGCAAGCCUGAUGCAGCGACGCCGCGUGAGGGAUGGAGGCCUUCGGGUUGUGAACCUCUUUCGCCAGUGAAGCAGGCCUGCCUCGUUUGUGGGUGGGUUGACGGUAGCUGGAUAAGAAGCGCCGGCUAACUACGUG
rnacentral:rRNA from 1 species